GACGAACGCUGGCGGCGUGCUUAACACAUGCAAGUCGAACGGAAAGGCCCUGCUUGCAGGGUACUCGAGUGGCGAACGGGUGAGUAACACGUGGGUGAUCUGCCCUGCACUUCGGGAUAAGCUUGGGAAACUGGGUCUAAUACCGGAUAGGAGCCAUCUUUAGUGUGGUGGUUGGAAAGUUUUUUCGGUGUAGGAUGAGCUCGCGGCCUAUCAGCUUGUUGGUGGGGUAAUGGCCUACCAAGGCGGCGACGGGUAGCCGGCCUGAGAGGGUGUACGGCCACAUUGGGACUGAGAUACGGCCCAGACUCCUACGGGAGGCAGCAGUGGGGAAUAUUGCACAAUGGGCGCAAGCCUGAUGCAGCGACGCCGCGUGGGGGAUGAAGGCCUUCGGGUUGUAAACUCCUUUCGCUAGGGACGAAGCUUUUUUGUGACGGUACCUAGAUAAGAAGCACCGGCUAACUACGUGCCAGCAGCCGCGGUAAUACGUAGGGUGCGAGCGUUGUC
rnacentral:rRNA from 1 species